rfam:Listeria monocytogenes str. 4b F2365, complete genome.
UUAACUUUAUCUACAGUCUAUUUUUUUAUAAAUACUAAUGUUAAGGAUACGGGAGUGUGGCGCUCGUCAUGAAGAUAAACAAAAUUAUCGAAUAUAUUGUAGUAGCAAUCAUCGUUUUAGGUUGGACUUACUUCAUUGUUAUUAAAGAAAUUCUCCCUAAAAAUAUAGGAUUUAUUUCAUUAGUAAUUUUAUCAAUAAUUCUUUAUUUUGUAGGCAAAAGGUUGAAUGGGAAACAUAGCAGAUAAAA